GCUAGACAUAAAGGUUCUCCACGUCCCCACCAGACUCAAGAGCCCAGCUGGCUUCACCCAGUGGAUCCCGCACCGGGGCCGCAGGUGGAGCUGCCUGCCAGUCCCACGCCCUGCACCCGCAGUCCUCAGCCCUUGGGUGGUCGAUGGGACUGGGCGCCGUGGAGCAGGGAGCGGCGUCAUCGGGUAGGCUUGGGCCGCAGGGUAGCCCAUAGAGGGCGUGGGAGGCCCAGGCAUGGCGGGCUGCAGGUCCCGAGCCCUGCCCCGCGGGAAGGCAGCUAAGGCCCGGUAAGAAAUCGAGCACAGCGCCGGUGGGCUGGCACUGCUGGGGGACCCAGUACACCCUCCGCAGCCGCUGGCCUGGGUGCUAAGCCCCUCAUUGCCCAGGGCCGGCAGGGCCGGCCGGCUGCUCCGAGUGCGGGGCCCGCCAAGUCCACGCCCACCUGGAACUCCAGCUGGCCCGCAAGCGCCGCGCGCAGCCCCGGUUCCCUCUCGCGCCUCUCCCUCCACACCUCGCUGCAAGCUGAGGGAGCCGGCUCUGGCCUUGGCCAGCCCAGAAAGGGACUCCCACAGUGCAGCGGUGGGCUGAAGGGUUCCUCAAGUGCCGCCAAAGUGGGAGCCCAAGCAGAGACGGCGCCGAGCGCGAGCGAGGGCUGUGAGGACUGCCAGCACGCUGUCACCUCUCACCACCAUGUGAAGAAGGUACCUUGCUUCCCCUUUGCCUUCCGCCAUGAUUGUAUGUUUUCCGAGGACUCCCAGCCAUGUGGAACUGCAGGUGCCAGAUGUGUGAGUGAAGAAGCCUUUGAGAAGACCCCAACCACAGUCGUCAUUAGACUACAACCUCCUGAGAGUCUCCAGCCAGUCACCCAGCUGAACCGCUCUUGAGUUCCUCACCCAAAGAAAUCCAGAGAGUGGGUUUUGCCACUUUGCCCAUGCUGGUCUUGAACUCCUGAGCUCAAGCGAUUUGCCCUUCUCUGCUGCCGAAAGUGCUGGGAUUACAGGUGUGAGCCCCAAGUUUGAUUUCCCACACAAGUUAAAUGCAAUUGAUUGUAAUACAUUUUUAACACUCCUUUAGCACUAAUAAUAUGUAGCUACCCUAUUAUUUUGUAAAUAGAAUUUAUGCUUUACUGAAAGAUUUCUAACUCUUCAUGUUUUCACUCUUUUGCAAGGAAAUCAGCCAAGUUCUCAAUUACAAAGGACAAUUUGACAAUCAGUGAAAUUGAAUUUGUUCCCAAUCG
rnacentral:lncRNA from 10 species